CGACUCUCUGGGGGCUCGGUCCCCGGCUCGGUGAUGCGGAUGGUUCCUCCCAGGCCCAGACCCGGGGUCGGGCAGGGCAAGGAAAGUCAGCCCAGGCCUGGAAGAUGUGGGACUUCCUGGAAGCCCUCCUGUUCCCGAUCCUUGCCAUCUUGUGGGUCAAUAAAUGGCCUCUCUCCGACGGGGGGUUCGCCCUUCUCUUCCUGGCGCUGCUGCUCUGGCAGGCCCGGAGGGGCCACAUUGGGCUGAAGAAGAACCAAGAAAAGACCCACAACAUGCAUCGUCCCAAGAACCGGCUGGAGGGUGCAUCAGCUAAAGUUCGGAGCUUGGGCCAAGAACACCCCAAGGAUCGAGCGGAAGUCCUGCAUAUCCUGAAAAGGCAUGACAUGGGCAUGUUCUGUGGAAAAUCUGGCCGUGCCGUCUGCCAGCGUCUCAGAGAAGAAGCCUAUGGAGUGUUCUCAAAGGACAGCACCCUCUACCGCGUGCUCCCACCACCCCCGGCCGGUAGGGAGAAGGUGACUCGGCCCGGGUCAUCUUUCCACCGUUCCAGAGAGACCGCCUCCCGACCUCACAGCUCCAAAUCGGGUGAAUGUUGCUGUAGUUCAAAGGUCAUGAUCCUCCCUGCAGACGUAGGGCCUCAAACUCCUCAAAUGGAGAAGCGACAAGAGCCCCAGCAGCUGGGUUUCCCACCUUCUGGCCACAGCACAUCAGUGGUCCCUGAAGAGAAAGCCCACAGAGACGCAGAACAAACAUCUGCUAAGCAGCAGCGAGAGGCCAAGGCCUUGACCCUGGAAAUCGAGCCCCCCUCCCGGCCCUCUUUCCUCGCCCCCAAGACCCGCAGCUUCCUGGAGCAACACUUGAAGUCCAUGCUCCAUUUCCAGCAAUGCAGGCUGCCCAGUUGGGUCCUGGAGGCCCAGAGUCUGUUACCACCUCAGGCGGGAGAGCAAGACAUCCAGCCUGGCUCUCCCUGGAGAAAAGAUUUGGUCGUGCCUGAAGAUUCCCACAGGAUGAAGAUGAUGAAGAGCAAGGAGGCCCUGGAAGAGCACAUGGCCCAAAAAUGUCAUCAGCUGAGACAUGGGGACAUCCCCCCCGUAGUACACAAUGGUCAAGGCGACACCAGCCCCUCACCGCCGGUGGCCCUCCCCACAUCGCCGAGCCCUCUGGCUCUCUUCGGCCCCAGAAGUCCAGCCCCCACCAUAGAAGACUCCCCGCCUCCGGACCUUCUAGAGACCAGACCUCAGUCGCCAGCCCAGAGGAUCGCUUCUCCGAUGCCGAGCUCGAGCCCCAGGCUGCGGGAGGACCAACCACUCCCGGUGGAACCCUCAGACCUGCCCGAGGCUUCGCUGAAGAAGAGCCUGGAAUCGGUCACGCAGCAGAAACACGUGGACGUCAUCUCUGGGUGUGACACGCGUGACAUGCACUACGAUCCAGCUGCCGACAGGGUCGUCUCUCCAUCGGGACCUGUCCAGACGGGACUGAGCCCAGAGGACGAGCCGGGCCUGCAAGCAGACCGUUCAGAAUGCAGCACGGUAGAUCGGGAGAAGGGGGGGACAUCUGAAGAACCAAAACUCUCCCCCGUCACCCAACGCCAGGUGUUUUCAAUGGACAGCAGGGCAGGUGACCAUUCUCACAGAGUCGGAGACCGUGACGGGCCUCAGAAUCCUACUGCCCAAGUCCCAGGGCAGGAGAGAGAGGGGCCCGGUCUCCUGGGCUCCUGCCACUCAAAGCCUUCAAUCUACCCUCCCAAGACUGCAUUUAGCUUGAGGGUCCCUGUGAACAUCCAGAGAGGGGAGAGAGGCAUCCAGAGACGGGAGAGGGACCCCAGCCAAAGGGACAGCAGGUCCUCUGUCUCUGCCUUGGCAGAAAGGGGACCAGCUCCCACCAUGGCUCACGGCCCUGGAGUUUCCACCUCAGGGCCAGUAAGCACCAGAAGGGGCCAAAAGCCGCCACCCAGAGUCACGUUUUCUGAACAGGUGAAGACGUGGUUUGGCUCCAAAGGCCAGCAGGCGGGCAUCAGCCCCAGGGCGCGGACGACAGCCGCCGUAGCAGAGCCAGGCAAGCCGAGCUCAACGUCACCGGGGAAUACUAAACCAUCCUCCCCGACCCGCCAACCCGUGAGCCGCCGCCCUCGGAAAGGAUUCCCGGGUCACAGUCCACAUGGGCCCGGGGCCCCAUAAACCCGCACGAAGAUCAAGAUUCAAGGGAGUCUUUCUGGCGCAUGGGCCAAUCGUCCCGGUCUCCCAACACCACAGUUUCUAAUUUCGUUCGCUCUCCUGAUCUCUGUUAAAAUAAACUCAUCUUCCUGUAGGAGAGCCGUGUGUUCUGACUGCCCUCGCCUUCCCUGGGACUGGGUCCUGAGGUGCUCUGGAACUCAGUCCCCAGACGUAGCCAAGUCUGGGUGCUCCCGGGGAGGUCGCGAUGGCGUUCGUCUCCCCCCGUGUAGGGGAGGGGAACCAGGAUGGGGAGCGCGGGGUCGUGGAAGUCAGGCUUGGGUCGCGAGGGGACGGUCGGGCCCUACCCGGCUCCCAUUCCCCUUUCCCAGUCUCUUCGACCGCGGCCCUGGCACUGACCCUCAGAAAGGGCGGUCUGGGCUGAAGUACUUCAGAGUUGGGGUGGGGAGGGUUGGAUGGGAUCGGCGUUGGAAUCGUGGCCUGGGCCAACGAGACGAGAUGAAGGACAGAAUCCGGCCCAGGGUUUUACCCAGCUUUCACUCGACUCUCUGACUCUUCCCUUUCAUCCAACCCACGUAUUCGACCAUCGCUAAAUCCUGUCGGUUCCACCUUCACGAUAUCGCUCAAAUCCGCCCCUUCCUCUCCAUCCAAACUGCUACUACGUUAAUCCAAGCACUUACCCUAUCCCGCCUCAUCUCUUCGUUGAGCUUCCCGCCCCCCGUCUCACCGCACUCCAGUUCAUACUUCACUCUGCUGCCCGGAUCAUUUUCCCACAGAUAGGUUCAGACCACGUUUCCCCACUCCUCAAGUGACUCCGGUGGUUGUUCAUCCAUCUCCACAUCGAACAAAAACUCCUCCCUAUUGGCUUGAAAGCACUCAAUCACCUCGCCCCCUCCUAUUGCACCUCACCACUCUCCUACGACGACCCAGCCCUCACACUUUGCUCCUCUGAUGCAGAUCUUCUCACUGUACCUCCAUCUCUUCUAUCUCGCCACCAACCUCUCACCCACCCUUAUCUCCGGCCUGG
rnacentral:lncRNA from 1 species